GCAAAUGACGAAGGUACCUGGGAGCGGCGGAGGAAAGACGCGCGGUUGGAGCACCGCCACUGUGGAUGCGUUGUGUUUUUUAAUGUAAUCGGGUCGGGGAGAACUGUUGGCCGAACCGAACUUGGUUUUUGCAAUUCGAGACAACUCCCUCCUCCAUAACCAAUGGAAUUUGCUCCCGAGCUCAGCCAAAGCCAUGGUACCACUCUCCUUUACUCCACUCAAUUGUUAACACGCGUUUGCAGGGCUUUUUCCAACCUCAAAACCUCUUCAUUCUCAUUCUCCUGAAAUACAUGGAAUCUUAAAUUUUCUUUCAAGGGGAUGGAAUCCCAUUCUCUACAUCUUCCUCAUACUGUCUUCUUAUACCUUCUUCAAAUACAUCAUUAAGAUUCACAUUUUGAAUGCUCCCCGUCCUUGUUUAUUUAGUUGACUUCUCACGCAUCAAACCACCACGUUCUGCAGAAUUCUCACGCAUCAGGCAACAACAAACCAUCAAACCACCAUGUGCUCGAGGAUCUUUCAGAGGCAACAGAUCCUGAUGCUUCUUGAGCAUUUUCAACCGUGUUCCGUCCCAUCGACAGUAUGUAUAUUUUGGGGACGGGAUUAUCCAGGGACGACCUUCAAGCUUAUAACUUGGAAGAGAUAAGAAGAGCCAAGGUUUUCCAUAACAUAUAGUUACCUCGAUCUAGCUUAGUCUAUUAAUUGGAUUGAGGAGCUGAUUCAUGGACGGAUUGUUGAAUUUGGCAACCUCAGGGGCGGCAGAAUUUCCGGCAGUAUUGGCGUUUGAUGCGGGAGAGGUGAAUCAGCCCCAUUUUGUACAAUGGAUGCCCUAAAUUGGAGAAGCAAAGAAGGGUUUUCUAAUUUUGAAAUACAGAUGGCAGCAAGCUAGAGGAUGAAGAAGGAUUCUUCCUUAACAAAUAGAUAACUGAAAUUCCUCCUAUUCCUUCAGACGCGGCUUUUACUCUGACAUGGCACUGCUGAUAUGGGUUGGCAAGCCUCUGUCUCUUUGGGUCCAUCCUUCUUGGCAUUUAUCCUAAUACUCUUUUCCUUGAAAAUGCAACAUUAAUAGAUGUUUUUGACAAUGAAGAGCCUCAGUUUCAUGGCUUAAAAUCUUUCUUCACGUUCAUUAAAACUCAAAUGCUGUUGUAAUUGGUACAGACAUUUUAUCAAAUAGUUGGUAUGCAGGAAAAGAAUACUCCAGGCUAAUCCUUAGUCACUA